rnacentral:rRNA from 1 species
UACGUAGGGGGCGAGCGUUGUCCGGAUUUAUUGGGCGUAAAAGGCUUGUAGGUGGCCACGUCAAGUCGGCUGUGAAAACUCGAGGCUCAACCUCGAGACGUCGGCGGAAACCAUCUGGCUAGAGUCCGGAAGAGGAGAGUGGAAUUCCUGGUGUAGCGGUGAAAUGCGCAGAUAUCAGGAAGAACACCCGUGGCUAAGGCGGCUCUCUAGUACGGUACUGACGCUGAGACGCGAAAGCGUGGGGAGCAAACAGG